rnacentral:rRNA from 1 species
UUGAGUGAGUGGCGGACGGGUGAGUAACACGUGGGUAACCUGCCCUAAAGUGGGGGAUAACAUUUGGAAACAGAUGCUAAUACCGCAUAAAACCUAGCACCGCAUGGUGCAAGGUUGAAAGAUGGUUUCGGCUAUCACUUUAGGAUGGACCCGCGGUGCAUUAGUUAGUUGGUGAGGUAAAGGCUCACCAAGACCGUGAUGCAUAGCCGACCUGAGAGGGUAAUCGGCCACACUGGGACUGAGACACGGCCCAGACUCCUACGGGAGGCAGCAGUAGGGAAUCUUCCACAAUGGACGAAAGUCUGAUGGAGCAACGCCGCGUGAGUGAAGAAGGUUUUCGGAUCGUAAAACUCUGUUGUUGGAGAAGAACGUAUUUGAUAGUAACUGAUCAGGUAGUGACGGUAUCCAACCAGAAAGCCACGGCUAACUACGUGCCAGCAGCCGCGGUAAUACGUAGGUGGCAAGCGUUGUCCGGAUUUAUUGGGCGUAAAGCGAGCGCAGGCGGUUUCUUAAGUCUGAUGUGAAAGCCUUCGGCUCAACCGAAGAAGUGCAUCGGAAACUGGGAAACUUGAGUGCAGAAGAGGACAGUGGAACUCCAUGUGUAGCGGUGAAAUGCGUAGAUAUAUGGAAGAACACCAGUGGCGAAGGCGGCUGUCUGGUCUGUAACUGACGCUGAGGCUCGAAAGCAUGGGUAGCAAACAGGAUUAGAUACCCUGGUAGUCCAUGCCGUAAACGAUGAGUGCUAGGUGUUGGAGGGUUUCCGCCCUUCAGUGCCGCAGCUAACGCAUUAAGCACUCCGCCUGGGGAGUACGACCGCAAGGUUGAAACUCAGAGGAAUUGACGGGGGCCCGCACAAGCGGUGGAGCAUGUGGUUUAAUUCGAAGCAACGCGAAGAACCUUACCAGGUCUUGACAUCCUUUGACCACUCUAGAGAUAGAGCUUUCCCUUCGGGGACAAAGUGACAGGUGGUGCAUGGUUGUCGUCAGCUCGUGUCGUGAGAUGUUGGGUUAAGUCCCGCAACGAGCGCCAACCUUAUUACUAGUUGCCAGCAUUUAGUUGGGCA